ACGAUUGCCAUGUUUUUAGCAGAGAUUAAAUGAUAAGGAAGAAAGCAACUAAAGGUUCUGUAUGGCCUUUAACAAUGACAAAAACAUGGCCAAUAGUAUUUGCAAUACCUUAUAGCUAAAAGGCACUGGAAAUGUUAAUGACAAAUGUAAAAAGAAUCAAACAAGAACCGACAACAUUCAUGUAAAUUAACCAAAUAUUGAAAACAGC
rnacentral:lncRNA from 1 species